rnacentral:tRNA from 1 species
GCAGGGAUGGUCGAGUGGUCAAAGGCGAUAGGUUGAGGGCCUAUUGGGUUAGUCCCUUCGCGGGUUCGAAUCCCGUUCCCUGCA